rnacentral:rRNA from 1 species
UACGUAGGGUGCAAGCGUUGUCCGGAAUUAUUGGGCGUAAAGAGCUCGUAGGCGGUUUGUCGCGUCUGCUGUGAAAACCCGAGGCUCAACCUCGGGCCUGCAGUGGGUACGGGCAGACUAGAGUGUGGUAGGGGAGACUGGAAUUCCUGGUGUAGCGGUGGAAUGCGCAGAUAUCAGGAGGAACACCGAUGGCGAAGGCAGGUCUCUGGGCCACUACUGACGCUGAGAAGCGAAAGCAUGGGGAGCGAACAGG